rnacentral:lncRNA from 1 species
AGUCAUCCCUACUCUUUUGAACAUCUACUUGAAGGCCGAUUAAUUUAGAUUUUAUACAAUUAUUUUCAAAAUUCAGAAAUUAUUCCAGAAUCGUGCUUGUUCUUAAAAAGAAAAAAAAAGGAUUUCAAGGCCAACGCUUUUGCAUGCGAUUGAGGAAGUGCCAGAAACUCAUUAUUAUGAAGUUUGUUUCCCCUUGCUAUGCAGAUGACAACAUUAUCUAUCUUAUACUUCCAUGCCCGCCCUAAGAAAUCCCUAUAUGAGCGUCAGUGGACUCAAGGCAAGCCGCCAAGGAAACAGGAAACAAAUAUCAGGAUACAGAAUCUUCUUGUUGUAGCGGUGCUUGUUGCUGGUGUAACCUUUGCGGGUGCUAUACAGAUGCCUCAACAAAGGGAUAAAAAUAACAGCACUGCAUUUCACACCAAUACUGUUUCAUCUCUUUUGGAUGUUUAUUUAUGUCUUGAUGUGUGGGCUUUAAAUACCUCUGUGGUGGCAGCUAUAAUCCUUCUUUUGACAAAGUUGAAUGAUGUCAAUUUUGCACCAUUUGCACUUUGGUUUUCAUCGUUAAUGGUGGGUGGGUCUAUUUACAUGAUGUGCUUGUCAUUCUUUUUUGCUGUGACCAUAGCAUUAUGGGGUGGAUCCACUUAUGGGUUGUUCGCUACCAUCCUUAUAGUGGUGGGGAUCGUGUUUUUCCUUGCUCAAACAUUGCUAUAUAUUCUGUGGAUUCUACUACAUCUCCAUAUUAUCGAAGGAAUGCUCUCGGAUUAUGUCUACUACAUCUGGUUCAUGCUUGUCUACAAUUGGAGGUUCCUGACUUAUAGUCUUCCUCAUCUUCAUAAACUUCGUGAUCUCUGGACAAAGCCCAAGUAACUAUCCAGGUUGAUCUUCAUCAAAAGAUGUCAUGAUUUUGUGGGAUCGCCUUUUUCUAAAAAAGGUUUGGGAUGAAAAAGCAUCUUGGAAUAUUGUGUGUGUCUAGAUGUUGUAAUAAUAAUUUGAACUUGUAAUAUCUUUUGAGUUUCUAUUUGAAAUAAUGAAUUGAAUGUGUUCUAUCAAUAUGUUAUCAUAAAUGAAUAAAUUUUAAGAGAAAAUUGUCAAUAAGUUGAGUUAAAGCAAAUUUAAAAUGACUCCAUUAAGCAAAUUUUAUUUAUUUAUUUUUUAAUGAUAUGCUAUAUAAGUUCUUAUAUUAAAAGAAACAAAAAAUGAAAAACAAAUAGUCAAAGUGUAAUGCAAAGAUUGCGUUCAUGUUUUGAAUGGAAUUAUGUAUUAACUUAUUAGUUAGCCAACCUUAUACAAUAGUGAUUAAGCCUAUUAAUAUUUUCUUGAUAUAUACAUCCUAUAAUAUGCCCUCUCAAGAUGAGGGUGAAGAAUCGACUCAAAGAUUGAACUGAAAAGCAGCAGGAAGUGACUUAGUAAAAACAUUUACAAGUUGAUCCUGAGAAGAGAUAAAAUGAAUCUGAAUUUCCUUCUUGGCAACCCUAUCACAUACAAAAUAAUAAUCAACCUCAACAUAUUUAGUACGAACAUGAAAGAUAGGAUUCGUUGGCAAAUAAGUAGCACCGAGAUUAUCACAUCAAAGUGUAGAAGCAGAACUAUGAGUAAUCUUCAAACCUGACAAUAAAUACAAAAGCCAUAUAUCCUCAACAAUACCAUUUGCUAAGGCUUUAUACUUGGCCUCAAUAGAAGAACAAGCAAUCAUGCAUUGCUUACUUGAUAUCUAUGAAAUCAGUAUAUGACCAAAAAAAACAAGGUAACCACCCAUAGACCUGCGAUCAUCAAUAUUACCAACCUAGUUUGCAUCUGUAAAAUCAUGUAAAGCAACGGAGUAACUAUGAGUGUUAUGUAAGCCAUGAGAAACCAUACCCCGAAGAUAACACCGAAUGUGUUUAACGACAACCCAAUUGGAAUCUGUAGGAGCAUCCAUAAACUAACAGACGUUGUUAUUAGUAAAACAAAUGUUUAGUCUUGUAAAAGUGAGAUAUUGAAGAGCACUAAUGAUGUGACAAAACCAUAUAGGAUAAAAAAAUAAGCAAUUGAGCACCACUGUAACUUUGGAGGUAGAAAUAGAAGUAUCAACAGGUUUGAAUGAUGUCAUACUAACUCGAGUAAGUCUGUCAAGAAUAUACCUAUCCUAUCAUAGAAUAGACCCAUACUAGUGGAUUGAACCUUAAUUCCCAAUCAAUAAUGAAUAGCUCAUAAGUCUCGAAGCUUAAACUCUAAACUCAAUAACUAUAUCAGUUUUUGAAGCAGAACGAAGUUGCUGCCUAUAAGCAAAAUAUCAUCGACAUAAACUAGAAGGUAAAAGAGAUCAACAUCAUCAGACAAGAUAAAUAAUGAAGUGUCAAACUUUGAAGCAUGGAAGCCAAAAGAGAACAUAUAAUCACUCAGAUGAGUGUACCAUACUGUUGAUGUCAUGAUCACUCAGAUGAGUGUUUGUUUUCGAUCUUAACCAUUCAUAAUUUAAACAAUAUCUGGAUGAACAAUAUAUCCAAAAUCCAGACCAAUCCAACAGUGAAAAAAUGAUACAACGGUCGAUAAACAAAGUUGUCUUGAAGGGUAAUUUUCUAGAAAUGUUCCUUUGGCAACAAUGCUCAAAUGAAGUCUGUUAUUGACAAUCCCUCCAGUCAGAAUGUAGGUGACAUUGAGCAUAAUAACAUAACCAAAACGCAACCUAAUCCAAUGAUGGAAAGCCAAGAUAUGGCUGCCGAAGUUCCUGCCUUGUUGCCAUCCUAAAAUCCAUAGUUUCAAAUCACCUUAUUCCUUAUAUUGUUUUUUGCAAAUCAAGCCAUUAUCAUGCAAUUAAUCUCGAAAUUCACAAGAACAAUUAUUCCCCCAAAAUAUUUACAUGAAACCUAGAAUUUUAAACUUGGAGGUUUUUUUCUUCUCAUGCAAGAACAAGAGAGAAAAAGGAAAUUACUAAAGGGUAUGUUGCUUACCUUUGCUACCUUAACUUAUUUCAAUGAAUUCUUGCAAAAAUCUACAAAACUCAUGUCCUCCUCUUUCAAGUUCCAGCUCCCACGCUUUGUUUUUCCCAAUCUUUAUAACUUUUUAAGUAUGGUCACUUGAUUUGUUUCCUUGGAUAUAAUCCUCCCAAGAACACUUCGUUUUUAUUUAAUUUGAAGAAAUGGAGAGGAGAUGAAGAAAAUGGGAGAAAAAUGGUCUCCCUCCUAUUUUCUCCUUUUGAAGAGAACAUGAGAUGUGUUUAAAGGAGGAGAGGGGGUAUUGUUUUAUAUAAAAUUAUCAAAAUGCCUUUAUUAAUGCCUCUUGUGUCAUCUUCUUCCAUUUACCCGAUUUUGAGUACUCUAGUAGAGCCUUCCCAAACUCCUACUGACAUGAAAUUGUAACCUAAGAUAAACCAAUAACUCUGGAAAUUCCUUAUACAAUUUCAACUCGAUCCAACAUUUGGAUUGAGAUAUAUUAUCGAUACCAUAAAACUAGACAAUCUGCGUCUUUUACGCUAAAUUCUGAAUUUCAUGCAUUACUUUAUUUACUUAGAUUCUUAUGACAUUUCCCCUUAAUUUAUGCUCAAUAAAUUCAAUAUUACCAUAUUUAUCACUAAUUUGUCGAAAUAAGUUUUUUUUAUUAGGGUUUACAUAUCUUCUCGUUUUUUCUUAUUCUUUUAUGAAAUGAAACUCGUCACUAGUUUCGCCAACGUUAUGAGUUUUAAAUUAAAAAUCAUGACUCUCAUUUCAAAUUCAACGAUACCUUUAAAUUUGUUUAUGGAGAUUAUUCUCUCUCUCACAUGACACAUUUAUUAUCAUUCCUACUAUUUAUUCAUUUAUUCCAUACCUAAUCUCCAUUACUCAUCAAGACCUCAUUAAUUUGAUCCUAUGUUUUUUUUUACGAGGGUUUAAAUAAUUUCCAUCUAAUACUUCUGAAUUUAUUGUUCCGGGAAUCACUAAAAUUUCCCUCCUAUCUUUUUUUCAUUCCACAAAUUUUAACCAACAUCCACAUUUUUAAGGCCAGAGAACUAAUUCUUUCAAAAUGUCGAUCCCCAUUUCAUUAACACCCUCAAUCAUUCUUCAUUGAUAAUACCAUCAUAACAUUUCUUCCCAAAAACUUGGAAGGUAAUGCCGACACUAAUGAAUCUCAUUAGUGUUGUAACCUAAUUUUUGAUUCACUAAGAUAUUCUUGAAUGUUAUUUUAUUUCUAUUAUUAUUCAUAAAAAUCCAAAACAAUUCAGAAAAAAAAAGUUUAAAAUUCAAAAAAAUAUUUUUCUCGAGUCAACCGCAUCUUACCAUAAAAACCGAUUUCACCGUAUCAAUAUGGGUCAAACCAUGCGGACCAGGGUAAAAAAAUGAGUUUUCGUGAAGUUUCGGGUCAAAAUCGUCAUUUUCGGUCAAAACCGUCAUUUUUCAUAAAAACCGAUUUCACCGGGUCAAUACGGGUCAAACCACGUCGACCAGGGUAAAAAAAUGAGUUAUAUGACGUUUCGGGUCAAAACCGUUAUUUUCGGUCAAAACCGUCAAUUUUGAUCAAAACUGAGUCAACCGGGUCAAUACGGGUCAAACCAUGUCGACGAGGAUAAAAAAUGAGUUUUCAUGACCUUUCAGGUCAAAACCGUCAUUUUUGGUCAAAACUGAGUAUUUUGGAUCAAAACAAAACCGAGUCCACCGGGUCAAUACGGGUCAAACCAUGUCGACCGGAAUAAAAAAUGAGUUUUCAUGCUAUUUCGGGUCAAAACUAUUAUUUUUCGGUCAAAACCCGUUUCACCGGGUUGAUACCCAUCAAUUUUAUUUUUUUGUGUUCCAAUAUAAUUUUGUUUUUUUUUUUUUGCGGUUGAAACAGGCUUUUUUCUAACUGAUUUAAGUUUUUCAGUUUUACCCAUAUAAUUAUUUAUUAUAUAUAAUAAAACAAAAUUAAUAAUUCAUAAUUUAUUAUAGUAGGUAAUAGUUAGUUGAUGCGGUGCAUUAUUUUCCUUUGAAAUAAAUGUAUUGUCCCCUGCUCGUUGGCUAUAAAUAGCCACGAGAAAUAAAUGUGUUGUCCCCUGCUCCUUGGCUAUAAAUAGCCACGAGAGCAGAGGGAGAAUGGGGAAGAAAAAGAAAAGAAAGAAAGAGAUCCUGCAAUAUUUAUAUUUUUUUCAGUUUUUCUUCAUGCGAGUAAGAUAUUGUUUUUUUCUUAAAAAACAAUUUGAAAAAUACCAAAAAUAUCCCAACCGUUAGAUCUAAUAGUGUUAUUUCUGGACCUUUGAUUUAAUAGGAUACAAUAGGGCUUACCACACUAUAUUAAAACCCAAACCCAUCUCAGCCUUUGAAAUAAUCUGCCCUUUGAUCCUGUUGCGCCACGUCACCCGGUGUACCGAGCUUUCGGUGCACCGCGCCACACCAGAUCACACCUCUGCUCAUCCAGACCGUCCGAUCAACCUGCAGAUCGAACCAAUCACAGCCGCACGAUCUUUUCAUCAGAGAUCCAACGGCUCACAAGCAUCAGCUACACCGGUGUACCGUGCUAGAGUUCACACCGUAGUUUAACCUAGAGCCUCUCUCUCGUCUCGCGGGCUACUCUCUCUCUCUCCUCCGAUCUCCCAUCUCCGGCCGUCGCAAGCUUCCAAACCACCACAGAAAGGUGUCCAACCUCCUAAAAAGCAAAACCCCCGCGGUUUUCAUCGUUUUCGCAGCCUCAUCUUGCCGGAAAAAGGCCGCGAUUGUCGCCGGCCACCGAAGCUUCAAGUCGUCGAUUCUCCCUCAUCAACCAUCAACGGCGGUCACUCAAACUCAAACUGAUAAUGAGCCUCUAUCUGACACCUUUCUUCACUUCCAUCCUUUCUUCAAUCAUUUGCAGCACAGCUUGUGCGGGGGAACCUACUUUUCAACCCGGUUCAUGCAUGAUAAAUGGAUGAACAUGUAAUCUAUACGAUGAACUCACCCUUCGAGAGGUGACAAUAUGGUCGUAACUCUUGUAUGAUGGACAAGAAUCGUGAUUUUUGCCCAAACUCUAUAAUGAAAAUUUUUGGAGCCACGGCCAAUGUGUCACCCACAAGUCUUGAGUUCAAGAUGCUUCAAGAAGGGUUUGCCCUGAUGCAAAUAACGAUAACACAUACAACCUAAGGAUAGGUUCUAUUCAUUUUACGUGAGACAGGGUAGGUUUGCUACUUGGUCUCUAAAAGGGUCUCUUGUUGUCCCAGUGAUCGCCCUCAUAAAGGCAAUAUAGGGGCCCAAUAGGUAAUUGGUUGGCACGUGUCCAACUAUUACCAGUCUAAGCACUCAACAAAGAGUUGGGGUUUACACAAACUUAAACCUUGACUCAAGUCGUAAGGUAAGCUGCUAGUCCCCCACCCAACCUAAAGUUUAAUGUGUGUGCUCUCAAAAAAUAAAUACAGGUGAUGCAUGAGAUAAUUCUAUAAAAUGCAUGGAAAUAAAUAUUAACAAAGAGAUAAAAAUGCAAAAACUUAAACACAUCAAAUACACAAAGCUUAGUCCAGUAUUGUCAGAAAAAAUACCGUCCCCAGUGGAGUCGUCAUUCUGUCGCACCCCAAAAAAUUUCCUGGCGCGCGGCAUCGGCUGGCGAUUUUUAUCGUUUUGUUGCGUUUUCUUUGAAUUCGUUCGUUGGAGUCGCCACAUAGUAAUUCGUUGAGGGCUACUAGGAAACCUGGUGUACUAGUCUUAUCAGAGAUCACGGGUAAGGGACUGGUUGUGGUUAGGGAAGGUAUUAGCACCCCUAACACACCCUACCUGAGGUAAGCUGCUUCGUGUUCUGAUGUGAUUUAAAAAUUUAAAAUAUUAAUCAAAUUCUAAGGCUUGAAUAAAUCAGUUAUUAAAUCCCCGAAUAUAUGUAGAAACUUGUUCUCACAUUUUCAUGGAAAAUACAACUUGAUUUUAUUUGUCCUUGAGAUAUUUAACCAUAUUUAAAUUAACAAUUAAAUCUUUUUGUCUUUUUUUUUUUUUUAUAAUUCAAUAACAUAAAAUAAAAAUACAAACACACACAACUUUCUUUUUAUCAUUUAUUUUUCUUUUCUUUUCUUUUUUUUUCUUUUUUCCUUUUACAUCACAAUACAAAUACAAAUACAAAAUCAAAUACAAAUACAAAUACGAAUUCAAAAUCAAAACAAAUAAAUAAAAAUUACAUUGAUUAAUUAAAAAAAAUUACACAAUAGUCCCUAAAACUCCAAAAAAUUGCAGGGAAGGACUUCUGCACCCGCAGGAACAGUAGCGACGCGUCUCCCCACGCGCCGCAGCCAGAAAACCCUAGGAACAGGGGGGUCUAGACCGACUUCUUCGUCUCAGCCCCCCUACGCCGGCGGUGACACCCACCGUCACCUGCAACCACAAGAAAACGCACAAACAGUAGUCCAUUUUAAGUUGUUUGUUUCAUUUUAGAUCUGUUUUUUCUUCUGCUUCAGAUCGGCUUCUUUCGGGUCGGUCACGGUUCGUUACCCGAGAGUUCAUCCCUGCAGCACAUCGGAUUGUUGGGCAUCGUCGGCGCUGAUGGUGGCUGGAUCUCGGGCGUGUCUGUGUUGCUGCUGGCUGAAGAAGCGCCGCUGGUCUGUGGGUUGCUGCUGGCUGCUGUGGCGCUGUUGGCGCGGUGGGGCUGAGGGAAGACUGAGAAGAAAACAAUGGGGGCUGCGCCGUGUUCGGUCUAAGAUGAGAGGAGCGGCGGCCGGAGGAGUUAUGGCUUGGGGUUGAGGCCGGUGUGCAGUGGAGUCGGUCUGUUGCCGACCGAAGGAGAUGAUGAAGGGAAUGGGUCUGUCUUGGCUAGCUUUAGCCGUGAAAGAAAAUGAAGAUGGAAUCGGUGGGGAACGGAGGCCCUGCCAGGGGAGAACGGCUGAAGGAAGAAGAAGAAGAAAAAGUAAUCCGGGGGGUUUUUUGGGGGGCUGUUUGGCCGGGUCUCAAAGAAAAAAAAUGGGGCGGCGGCUGUGUCUUGUGUUUUAGGGUUUAGGUUUUUUCUUUGUAUUUUUCUGUUGUUUCCAAAUCACCUCAUGUAUCAAAAUUGCCCCCCCCCCUUUUUGCAAGUGUUGGAAACCAGUAUUUAUAGGCAAACGAGCAAAUCUUUUAAAAAACAUAUUCUUUGUAUUUUCUUGAAAACGAGCAAAUCAACGUCGACUGAACGAGGAAAAUCAAUGAUUUUAAAAAUGACGCGUGAAAAGUUGAACGCGUUUGAAAAUCUUUUAAAAAUUUAAAUUCUCUUUUUUUUUAGACAACGUUGAAAAUGCUAAAAUGACGAAAAUAUAUUAAAAAACAUAUUUUUUGGAUUUUCUUUGUUUUUUCUCUAUUUUUGAAAUUUUUAAAAAAUAUAUAAAAAACAUGGGUCAAAAAUUGGGUAGCAACACAUGUCACGAGCAAAAGAGGAAACAAGGAUCAUGAUAGGGAAUGUUCUAGUUGUAGCAGUGCUUGUUGCUGGUGUAACCUUUGCGGGUGUUAUACAAUUGCCACAAUUUAGGGACAACAAUAACUCAAGUGAUCGUCGUCAUGAAUUUAACAGCACUACUUACAGCACUUAUGUAUCUUUAUUUAGUUUGCGAUGUGGGGGCAGCUCUAUUCCUUCUUUUGCCAAGCUUUAUUAAUCCCAGAUUUCUAAUCUCUGCAGUUUGGCUUUCAAUCUACAUGGUUUGUGUGGCUAUUUACAUGAUAUUCGGGGCAUUCCUUUUUUCUGUGAGAAUAGCAUUAAUAGGAUCCCAUGGCUGGUUGUUACCAAUCAUCAGUACAGGGGUGGCCGUUGUUAUUCCUUCGAUUAUUCUGCUAUUUGUCAGCCAAGUUCUUCUAAAAGUGCACCAUUUCUACUACGGCCUUUUUUUCUUUUUAAUCUACAGUAGCUGGUGGCUGCCUAAUAAACUCUCUGAUCUCAAGAGAGAGCUCUCUGAUCUUGAGAGAAAGUUCAGGAUUUUGAGAUCGAUCAUAUCUUAGAUUGUGUCUGGCGAGCGAUUGGAGUAAUAAUUUGAACUUUGUAAUAACUCUUGAGUUUCCAAUUGAAUGUAUGCGCACUUCUACUUCUACUUUUUUAUAUAUAUAUAUAUAUAUAUUAAGCAUGCAUUUACUAGACUCCUGUUGUUGUUGUUGGAUUGAGUAAAAAAAAUAAAUCAAAUAUUCAAAUUAAGAUAUCAACUUGGUUGGUCUUAACAGUAUUAAAAUGGCCAUCCCAAAAUCAUUGACACGGUGCAUUACGAUAAAAUCAACAAACAUCCAUCCCGUCCCUGCUGCAGGAUUUUUUUCAAGGUAAAAGGACGAGCAAUUUUUAAAAAAAAUUUGUUCUAAGAAAUACAGCCAACACCACCCCUGUUGGGGAAUCCAACCGGUGAUGUACUGAUAAUUGCUCAACGGAGGAGAAGCACACUGAGACACAAUAUUUAAUGUGGUUCAGCAAAUCGCCUACAUCCACGGGAGAGAGUCCAUAUUAUUUAGAGAUAUAGAAAGAAUACAAAACAAAUCUCUAUUCCACGGGAGGAGGAUCACUUCACUCUACUCUACUCCCAGCUCUCAUUGUUGCAAUGACAGCAACUCCUCUUUCUCUCUUCCUCUCUAUUGCACUCACAAUCUCUCUCACAUUUUGCUCUCUAAUAUAUGCCUCUAUUUAUAGGCAUCCAUGGUAGCUUCUCUUGGUCUUUUAUCAACAAUGGUGGCUGCCAAACAUUGACAUUAGUCAAUGGUUGGUGGCUGCCACCAACAAGCCACCAUUAUAGCCUCCUUCUUUGACAAUGGUGGCUGCCAAAGUCAAUGGUUGGUGCUGCACAUGCAAUGGCAACCAACCCAACAAUCACCCCCUUUGCCAUUCAUGUGGGGCAACUGUCCGCUUACUUCUUCAGCACAAGCUUGCAUCUUGCAGCUCUUCUAAGCUUGUCUCUAGGACACAUCAUUCCCUUUCGAGCGUAUCAACCAUGCUCGGUCCGGAAUGAUUCAUCAAGCCUCACAUCAAGGCUUACAACACCCCCUCAAACAAAAAUUUCCAUUUCCAAGUGCGACAGUCAUUAUCCGAGUAUCUCAAUAUGAUCACGAGCUCACCACUUUUCUAAGAGUCUACUCAUCCAGGAGUUGCGCCUGCCCUCUGUUCCACCCUAGGAACCACACCUUACUUCUCCGUAAGUCUCCCGCUCUUAGUCUCAAGAGUCCAGGUAGCUCAUCACCUUUACCUAUGGGGGCAACCCAUUAAAGGUUGAUCCAUAUAUGUCUUGAUACUGUGAGUAUUACAAUGCCUUCACCGAGCCCACCACCUUGACAAGAGUCAACUUGUUCUGGAACCUACGCAUGCCCUCUGCUCAUUCAUAGCAGUCGCGUCUUAAUGCUCCACAAGUCACCCACUUAUUGUCCAAGGCAAAUGUCUUCUAGCUCAUUGAUCUUUAGCAUGGUGGCAAUAUCCAUGAAAGUCAAUCUUGCAUUUGUCUCCAUACUCACCAUAUCCACUUCAUUGACUAUACACCUGUCCACUUAUAUCUAGCUAUCACAUUGGCUCUAGGGCGUUCUGAACUGGGCUCAUAUCAUGGCCCACACACCUUCUUUAAGGUGUCUUCGCCUGUUGUCAUAAGGCGGUCUGAACUGGGGCUCCUCUCAUGGCCCUCACACCUUCUCUAAGGUGUCUUCGCCCGUUGUCAUGGGGCGGUCUGAACUGGGGCUUCUAUCACGACCCUCACACCUUAUCUUAGGUGUUUUCGCCUUUCAUAGACGGUCACAUCCUCCUUCAACUAAGAUGCUUCGGUGGCUCCAAGAUUCUCUACCACCAUGUGGACUUGGGAGAGAUAACUGCCACUAAUUACAUAGAAAGAGAAACUUGCGGUAUAUUCCUCGCAAUCCUCCACCUCGAUUUCUAUGUUUGGAGCUUCUACGCCUUUCUACUUGACAGCUCCACCUACACCAACUCUCUUUGGUGUCUUCGCCUUUCAUAGGCGGUCGCCUUUUAUCACAGGCGUUCGCACCCCCUCAAUUAGGUGCUUCUACAACAGCUCAUCUUUCCAUCCUUGCAUGCAUUGGAAAGGUCUUCGCUUGUUGUCUUCAUCAAGAGCACAAGAGACUUCCUAUUGUACACAGUCUCUGCUCUGAGCUUCAUCUGGGAAUUGUUCUUCUCCUUGCUCCUAUUGUCUCAUUACAGUACCUCGUUGGAUCCUACGGGUACUCCUGCACAAUCUUCGUGUGCCCUCGUGCAAUUUCUGUUCUCCAGAUUUCUUCCUAUUUCUUGCUUAUGUUUGACAGCAGCUCAUCCUGUCACAACACCUGUCCAAGUUAAAAUAGGGUGCCAAUCUUUAUACCCUUGUUGUAUUUCUCUUCCAUUAUCAGGGUCUUCAUCAAUUCUCCCAUCAAGAAAUCACAGUCAUCGAAUCUAACUUCUUUGGAGAAAUCACCACUCCAUAAGAUCCUUGAUCAUACGAAACCCAAUUGUUCCCCUUGUGCCGUCAUCCUGCUAGUCUUCAACCGUUUCAUUACAAACUGCUAUAUAUACGAAAAUAGUACCGUAUGGAUAAUCCUUCCACUAAGCAAGUUCCUAGGAAAGAUUGGAGGGGUCACAACGGUCCCGCUUAAAACCCAAUCUCCUAGACAGAACUUCUUAGACCAUAUCUAUUCAUCGUACUGCCUUUCCGUAUAUAUAACUAUUUGGUAGCUUUGUUGCGGCUUUCCUUUACAAGUAAUCUGGAAUAUACAGGUUUAAUACCUGAUUUCUCAACAUCUGGCGAGACUACCAGGUCUUAGAUUCGUCAAGAUUGGUCUUCAUCAGUUUUCACUCUAAACCUCUAAUUGUCCACAUAACCGGGUGUUUAGAGUGUCCCAAUUUUUCCUUCCAUCAAGGCAAUUAAAUUCUCCACUUAAUAGUUUGGCACAUGUAAUUGGGUAAAACAUGUGCUCCUUCUUCCUUUUCAUCUCCAUCGACCACCAUCAAGACCUUCAGAUGCCUCCUGAUCGGGCAAUCUCUCUUAAUAAUUCACCACCGCCAUUUUUGAUCCCAAAUCUCAACGAUCAGAUCGUACCAUUGCAUCCGGAACGAUUAAAUUAGUUGGAAACAAGUCUGAAAUCGUCCAAAUCGCAUUUCAGAUGGCUAAGAUUUGAUCAAAACAAUUCUGGCUUGAUCAACGGCUCAGAUUCAACCUCAGAACCGGUCGCACGUAGGCUGCGCUACACAGAAUCAUUUCCCUAGGCUCGCGGCUCGGCUCCAACUCGAUUCGGCUCAGCUGCUGACUCGUCAAUGACAUGAUGACUGUGUAUGAUGGCGUCACAUUACGUCAUGCUGACGUCAUCCUUAUCCGAGUCAGUCACAUGGGUCGGGUCAACUGGUAUUCGGGUUGGGUCAACCAAUCCGGGUGAAGAAGACGCGUGGGGUGCGUCUGCACGCGUGGGUAGACGCCUUGCCGGAGAGUGAUGGAGAGUGCGGCCAUGUCCGAUGUCCGAUUUUGACACCGUUUUCACCAGUGGCUUCGUCUCUUCCUCCUCUACACAGUGGUAUGGUCAAAACACCAUUUUGACAACUUUCAUUUUUUAUCAAAAAAUCAAACACCACUUUAAACCAUCAGAUACCAAUUGUUGGGAAAUCCGUCCGGUGAUGUACUGAUAAUUGCUCAACGGAGGAGAAGCACACUAAGACACAAUAUUUAACGUGGUUCGGCAAAUCGCCUACAUCCACGGGAGAGAGUCCAUAUUAUUUAGAGAUAGAGAAAGAAUACAAAACAAAUACAUGGAGGAGGAGGAUCACUUCACUUUACUCUACUCCCAGCUCUCAUUGCUGCAAUGACAACAACUCCUCUUUCUCUCUUCUUCUCUAUUGCACUCACAAUCUCUCUCACAUUUUGCUCUCUAAUAUAUGCCUCUAUUUAUAGGCAUCCAUGGUAGCUUCUCUUAGUCUUUUAUCAACAAUGGUGGCUGCCAAACAUUGACAUUAGUCAAUGGUUGGUGGUUGCAACCAACAAGCCACCAUUGUAGCCUCUUUCUUUGACAAUGGUGGCUGCUAAAGUCAAUGGUUGGUGCUGCACAUACAAUGGCAACCAACCCAACACACCCCUCCAUCAACGGAAGAGAACACAAUAUAUAAUGCAGAUUGUGUCCCACAUUGUCAUUUGAUGAUAAGUUUUUUUUGUUGUCUAUAGGUAUUCCAUUUUAGAAUUGCGUUAUAAACAAUAUGUUAUAAAAAUUAAAAUUUUAUAUUAAAAUAAAUUUUAUCUAUUUUUAAAUUAUUUUAAUAUAUUAAUGUUAAAAAUAAAUUUUAAAAAAUAAAUAUAUAUAUUAUUUUAAUAUAUUUUAACGAAAAAAAAUUAACAUACAAUUAAACAACUCUCUAUUUUUUUAAAAAAAAACUCAUACUUUUCUUUUGAAUAUUGUUAACUUCUAGAAAGUAUUUUUCAUUCAAAAUAAAAGAAAAAUAUUUUUCUAGGAAUCAAGUUAAAUUUUUCUUUAACAAGAAAGUGGUUUUUGUUGAUCAAAAAAUAUUUUCAGUUAACUAAUUUUUUUAAUAAUAAACAAAUACAGGAAGUUUGAACUAAAUUUUUUUCAUUUAUGUACGAAGGACAACAAUAUUAAAGCUAGGAUAUCAUUUGGUUCUGGAACUUGUAUCGGUUCCAUCUAAUCUAAGACUUCUUUCACUUCAUCCCUUGUAAAAUCUUCAUAUAAGUGAGAACUCGUAUCAUUUGUGGCUACUUGAGAAUAAAACACAACUCUGGAUUUGUCUUUGGUGCUUAUCAAACCAGGCUCCUUGUGAUAUUUCAACCAUAUUAAUUGUCCACCUUUCUGAUUUUGUUUGUCCCAAAACCGUUGUUCAUUAUCAAGAUUUCUAAUUAUUAAUUUUGCAGAUUUUCUUGUUAUAUUCUAAUCACAACUCAGUGUAAUUCUUUUAAUCUAACCAUUUCCUCCCUUAUUUAUAUUAAAUAAUCCAUAAUUUAAUCAAUAAAAAGUUAAAAAAUAGAGAUAAAAAGAUAUAAAUAAUGAUCAUAUCAUUUAAGCUGCUUUAAAUUUUAUAAUAAUAAAAGAUUUAAAUUACGUUAAUACUCUGAUUAAUUUUCAGUUGAGCCUUUUUUCUGAGAACAAACUAACGAAAUCAAGUGAUAUAGUUUAUAUUAGUACUUUAAAAAAUUUAGUAUAAUUAUAAAUUUAAUUGAUUGAGUGGAUAGGGUUUUUGUUAUAGGCAAGGAUGCGGCUGCUAGGUGAACAUGGCUUGGCAAAGCAUCAACUUUUAUCAUACGGUGCAUGCUUUGCAGCUGAUUCUUUUGUUGUUUUUUAAUCCUUUCCUUCCUCUCUACUUUUGUCUUGGCAAAAAAAUUGAUUUCUUGUUCAUCAGUUGAUGGUGUUCAAAAAUCCAAUAUGUUUAAGAAAGAGGUUUUUGAGUGUUUGGACAAUGAAUAAAUAUCCCUUACAUAUCAUUAAUGAAGGAUAAAUAUUUCUUACACAAUAUUUAAUACUGAUGAAAAUAUGAUAGAUCCUUAUAAGACUUUUAUAUAUUUAGGAGUGUAGAGAGAUGAGUAUUCUUAACAUUAACAUUUCAAGUUAAAAAUCAUAAGAAUAAACAAAAAAAGCCUUAUAGCCCUGACACGACCAAAACAUUGAUGUCUUCUCCCAAGUGCAGGAGUGUCGAAGUAAUAAAUAACCCGGCAAGACCGGGGUCGAACCACAGAGAGGUUAAUUAUAUAAAUUAUAAAUAACAAGACGACGACAACAACAACAACAACAACAACAACAACAAUAAUAAUACUCAGUACGUGGCGUUGUUAUACCUGAGAAUGAUCUAAAAGAUCGGGUCACAGGUUUCCAGCCUAUAUACUGAGUUUUUAAAAAGAUCAAAGAGAUAAAUUAUAUAAUAUAAAUAGAAUGUAAAUAAUAAUAAUAAUAAUAGUAAUAAUAUUAAUCGUGAUAGUAAUAGUAAUACUAAUAAUAAUAGUAGUACUAGUAGUAGUAGUAGUAGUAAUAAUAAUAAUAAAAAGAAGAGGAGGAAGAAAUUAAUGAGAACUUUGAGAUGGAAGAUUAAUGUAAGGAUUAAACAAUGAUAAAAACAAAUGUCAAGGUUAGAGGAUCCACCAAUGGUAUUUCAAACAAGUAUAGUAUAAACUCUUAUUACUCAAUUUGGAAACCACACACGAAGGAGGUUCCAAUCGGAUGAUUUGUCAUUAAUAGCUCAUUAUAAAUUAUUAACAUGAUCAUAUUAAUUAUCUUAUUUACAUAACACCAAACUUUUAAAUAUUGUCAGGAAUUCAUGAUGUUAACUGAUGUUAACAACAAAUCAAGUUCCUUUCAUAGCCCAGGUGUAGGUAAUACCAUACGGUUGGGCUAUGAGAGUGCCAAGCAUUUGUUGUACCAAGUGUUAUACAACACAAAUCUAGAUUAACCAUUUAACAAGCAAGGUAUUAAGAAUUAGUAAGAUAAAAAGAUAAGACAUGUUAAUAUUAAACAUUAAGGUCCAUGUUGAGUUUACACUAUAUUUCUUACACCAUUAGUGUAACCUUUUCACCUUGACAUAAUAAACUUAGCUAAACAUAAUGAAGAAGAGAAACAUAAAUAAACAAAACAAGAACAUAAAAAAUACAAGUUAACUAAGAAAGGAAAGGAAAUGAAAAGCAUAAACAAGAUAUUAAUGAAAGCAAAACUUAAGAAUUACAAAAAAAUAUAAAGAGAGAAAUAAAGAGCAUGAACUUGAUCUGAACAACCAAGCCCCAAAUACAUGGCAAAUGCCUCCUUUUAUAGGCCAAAAUUCGGAAUUAUUGAUUUGAUGACUAAUUGUUGAGUGGGUGGCCAACUUUUGACUUGGUGAAAAUCCUUAUCUUCUUGUCUGAAUAAAACAAAAUGCUAGCAUCAGAACUGGGUCCACUGAAAACAUGAAAGUUGUAGGAAAUUGACUCAGCUUUCCAGGAAAAAAAAUGAGGUCAUUUGGACUUCUAGAACUCAGAUAUGGGCCAAACACUGAACAUGUUGGGCUGCAGGACAGAUUCGGACUUCUCCGUUGUUGCUAUAUUUGGACUUGAAAACGGCCUUCUUAGAUUUAUGUUCACAUGAAAGUUGUAGGCCUAUGUCUUACAAUUUGUGUAAAAAUUUGAGAUCAUUUGGACAUCUAGAACUCGAGAUAUGACCCAAUUACCGAAUGUUCCAGUUUGGACUGCACCAACAUCUCUUUUCUAAGUUUCACCCUUCUUUAUCUUCAAAAUUUCAGUAGUUGAAUUCAUCAAUCAAUCCUUUGAUUUUAUGUGAUAGGCCUGCAUUUAAGAUGAACAUUUACCAUAUAUUAGGCAUUUUAUAGUAUUAGACUUGUUAUUAUAAAACAUGCUUUAGUUAAGGAGUUAUUGAUACUUUAAGUGCAAAAUGAUGAUAUAAACCUUGAUAAAUAUGCACUUUUAAGUACUAAUCACACCCCCAACCAGCUUAUUACUAGUCCCUAGUAAUCAAAGCGUUAAAAUAGAAAAACAAUUUGCAAAUUCCACAAAGUAAGGCAUUCAUCAUUCAACUUUCAUUAAUCUAUCCAGAUAAACAAACUCUCAUUAAAUUCAUAUAUCUGCUCAAUACCUCUUAAACAAGAUAUUACUAAACCUUUCUUUUGUGCUCAAAAUAUCAACAUAUAGUUAUGAGGCUUUACUUGGAAGAAAAACUUCCUUAGGUUAGGAUUAUUAUCUUUUAUAUAUAUAUAUAUACAUAUAACUUAAAACACAAUGCAUCUUUAACCCAUGUAACGAGCUUUCGGCUAAUGACUCCCAGACCAGUUGGUCUUAGGGCAUUAGGUGUUGAGACACCCCUACGAGCUUAGUAACUCGGGUUGCAGAUACUGAUACGUAGAUAGUGCAAUGUUUGAUUCCCUUAAGCUUUUCUCCUCAACCCAUGUAACAAGCGUUGGGCCAAUAGCUCCCAAGUCAGUUGACUUUAGGGUAUUAAGUGUUAAAACACCCCUUCGGGCUUAAUUGCUUAGGUUAGGGAGGCUACGAAACCAAACUUAUCUACCUUUUUAUUAUCUUAUUUUUUUUUUUUUUUUUUUUUUUGCAAAUUAUAUACUAUCCCUUUCCCUUAGUUGUUACCUUUAACAAAAGAACAUAAAUAAUGUAAUAAUCCAAUGUGCAACCCACAAUCAUAUGUUAAAGUGUGUGUGUGAAAAUGAAGAUUUAAGAAUACUUGUUAAAUGAGCAUAUGAGCAGAAUCAAGUGCUAACAAUAUGAGAGUUUGUAAACCUGAAUAUUUCAAGAAGUAUUCUGAUAGACCUUGUUAAGAAUGUUUACUAAGAUGCGUCUCAAGAGUCACUUUAACAAAAGAACUCCUUUUACUCUGCCAUCCUAGUAACAACAGUUUUGCAAAUAGUUUAUGAAAUAGAAAACACAAGUUUUUUUUUUUAUAUCAACUACUACCCUUUCCCCCAACCAAAAUGAGACAUUGUCCUCAAUGUCUAAGGUAGAAAGAUAGAGUAUAGAAGACAUCACCUGAAAACGAACACUGACAAACCUGAAACACACUUAAACAAAUAUAAGAAAAACAAAACACAAUAAUAAAACCAAAAGACACAAAGUUUUUACAAACUAAGGCUCAAAUCCAAUCUAAGCUUUUUACGGCUUUCCUUAGUUGACCAAUUUAUGCGACUCAUGGAGGGAUUAAUUACAGGGAUGAAAGAUUGUAGUUGGUCAAUCAAUUGUUCAGCAGUAGCAGCAGAGAUUAUGAUUUGUCGUGCGAAGAUGUUAGAAAUUUUGUUCCACAGCAUGAUCAAGAAAAGACAACAACUUAUCAUAAAAACCAUUAACAUUUAACAACCUAUGGGUUUAUGGUGAAUGUGCAGUUGGGCCCAAGAGGAAAUAUGAAAGAUCUCUUCCAAUGUGCCCAGACCACCUGGUAAGGCAAUGAAGGCAUCACAUGGUUAAACAUUGUAUUCAGUCGAUCAGACAUUGUGGGACCUGUAAUUCCUCUCCAAUUGUUUUUCCAAUGAUGUCCCCUUGUGCUAAAGCUUUGGGGACAACCCCCAAAACUUGACUACCUCCUAAAAAUGCAGCUUUGACACUCCCCCCAUUAACCCAAGGCUGCCUCCCCACUAAAUGAAUCUUUCGCUCAGCUAGUACCUGACCAAGAUGAUUUGCUGAUUCUAAAAACUCUUUUUCUUUCCCAGGACUGGAUCCACCAAAAACACAAAUAUUUUUUAUUUUAAGAGCUGAGGACCUGCCAUUUCAAGAAUUUUAUUUGUAGAAUGUAUGGGUUGAGUAGAAAUGAAGGGAAGAAGAGAAGCUUUUAUAGAUGAGAAAAUUGAAAUGCAAUCAUAUCACCUAUAUGGAAGCUAGCUGGAGUCUCUCUCUCUUCUUCUUUUUUUUUUUUUUUUAAAUGUGUAUGUACAGGUAGUUGUGAUUGUGGCUCACAUAUUCCCUUGGUUUCACGUCCAAAAAUAGCUUAAACGCCCUCUAUGGGUCGAGGAUAGGCUUCCCAUCCAGUUUUCUUAAAACCUGGCAAGCAAGGUCUUUUUUAGUCAGAUUCCCAAGACUAAGUCGAGCAUGUUCUUUAUAAAAAUGGAGUUAUAAGUCAUGAAAUGCACAAUGCACAUCUCCACUAUGAUGAGACUUAAGAGUCAAUAAAAGAUUAUCUAAAGACUCUCUAUGUUUUGAAAUAAAUCCUACCUUUCGACAAUUGUCACAGGUUUUGCAGAAUGCAUAGGAGUCCUUGAACAUGGUGGGCUAGUAAAAUCCACUUUGUAAGAUUUUUGCAAUCGUCUUUUUUGACGAGAAAUGAUCCCCACAUGCUUCAGAGUGACAAAAUUUAAUGACACUACUUACCUCAUUGUCGGGAAUGCAUCUUUGAAAUAUUUGAUCAGGACAAUAUUUGAAUAAGUAAGGGUCAUCCCAAUAAAGGUUUUGCAUGUCACUCAAAAACUUUCUUUUAUCUUGGUUAUCCAAAUGAGUUGGCAAAAAUCUUGAAGCAAGAAAAUUGUUAUUUUUAGCAAACCAAGGCAUUGAACUAAGAGAAAGUAAAGAUUCAUCAGGAAAGUAAUCAUUGAUUGGUGUGUCAGAUGUCGAAUCUAUUGUCAACUUUGACAAAUGAUCCGCGAACAUUUUCGGUGCCUUUUUCAUCAUCAAUUGCUUCCUGUUUGGUCAUGGCAUGAGGAAAUGAAAGUGCUGGCAGAGAAUCAAUCUUUUCUUUACAAUGUUCAGAUUCAACCCCUUCCUUACCCUUAGAGAUUGACUCAUCAUAUUUCUCACAAGGUUCAAGAGUGGGUUUGUCAAUAACCUUACCACUGCGAAGAGUGAUGACUGAUUUGACUCGAUCCAUGUGUUGGCUUCCAGAACUACUUGCAUUUGCAUUGUAUUGCCCCUUUGGAUUUUGUUGUGGUUGAGAUGGAAACUUACCUUUCUCUUGGAAACUAAGAGUAGAUUUGAAUUUUGCAAGAGCAUCUUUAAAAUCUGUCAUGCUUUGAGCAAACUGAGUGUUGAUUGUCUCUUGCUUUUCAAUGAAUGCAUGCAAUGUUUCCUCAAGAUUUCUUCUAGGAGGUGGAGCAUAAGGAGGUGCAUAUCCAUGAGAAUUUUGAAAAUUAUGGUGUGCUUGAAAUGGUGGCUGUUGUCAUAACCCAAUUCUGGGUUAUUCCCCCAAAAUAAAUUCCCCUCAAAAUAAAAUAAAAAAAUAAUAAAGACAAAAAAAUAAUAAAGGCUAGCAACGUGGAGAAAGUAUGCAGGGAAAUCAAAUUGUAAUUUUUGGAGAAGAUUAAAGACCUACUGGCGCCCCAUUGUGCCCAAAAUUGGAGAAGAAAAAUGCAAAUUCAAGGUUAAAUUAAAUGAUUAUUGGACGAAUUUGCAUAAAAAUUAAGUCCAAGGACAUAAUUAAAUUUUUAAUAGGUCAAUUUAAUUUACUCAUGGGCCAAAUUGAAUUUUAAUUAUGUUUAAGAAUUAAUUUGGGUCCAAUUGAAGGAUUUAAUUAAGUGAAAGGACUUAAUUAUACUUUAAAUGGGUCAAAUUAAUUUUAUUUUGGGGCUUAAUUGGUGAAAAAUUAAGUUUGGGAGCUUAAUUUGGGCUUAAUUGAGAAGAUUGGAAUUUUAAGAGACCAAAUUUAAUUUUUACCAAGUUGAUUGAUUGAAGUCAGGGGUCAAAUUGCAAGAAAAUUGAAGUUUUGGGGUCAAUUAGGGGUUAAAUUGACAAAAUCCAAAGAUAAGGACCAACUUGCAAACUGCGCCAAGCUAUAGGGGUCUAAUUGAUAAAAUCCGGGGGUCAAAUUGAAAGAAAUUGAACGCUGGAGGGCUAAAUUGAAAAUCAGCAAAAAGCCCUAAUUUUUAUCCCAAACGGCGCCGUUUUUGUGUUGAGGGAAGGGACCAGGCGACGCGUCACCCGGUUACUGGUCAUCGUCUUCCUCACAAAGCUGCCCGAGUGGCUGCUUUCCAGGCGCGUUUUCUCACUUGUUUGGCCCCCAAAUCCGACAAGGCGUGCACCAAAAUGUUCCCCUGAAACAUCUUUAUCUCGUAGAGUGGUCUGGUCGGGUGGAACAACUUGGGGACAGCUCCAUUUAUUGGCCCAAAUUGGCACCCUCGGGCGGUCUGCAGCCUUGGAUUGCCAAAUUUGGCAGUUCGAGGUGCACACUUGGAACCAACGGCUUGGAUUCCUCAAGUCGAAUCAAGGGCUGAGAAUUUUUCCCCGUUAAAUACCAGAUUACCCUCUUUCGUUCCCUAUAAAUAGGAGCCAAUUUCAUGCUCAGGGGGAGGAGAAAAUGGAACGCAAAGUUGGUCGAAAACCGGCAUUCCCUGCCCAGUUCCUGCAACCAACCCUUUCUCUUCUUUCUCUCUCCACCGUGGCUUCAGCCACUACCACCAUCAUCACCUCUUCUCUUCUGUCAUCUCCACCGUGAGCAGACCACCCCUUCAUUCUCCUCCCAGCUGGUCUUUUCCAUCAGCAGCAGCAUCCCCCACAAACAACCACAGCCCUGGCCUCAUCUCCCUUUCUUUUCUCCAUCGUCAUUCUUCCCUCAGUUUUCCCUCAACCUCUCCACCGUUGGUGGCAGAGAAGCAACACCAGCCACACCAACAGCUCCAGCCGUGAGCUUUUCCUUCUCCUCUGUAGGACCCGUUUUCUCCUUCUUGCAGUGGCGACCAGAACCAGCAACCGGCAGCAGCAGCACCAAGCUCUCCAUCAACGCCGCCCCAGCCUCUCGUCAUCCACCUAGACAGCGGUUGUUCUUCCCACGCCAGGCAACUUCCUCCUCCCUGCUUUGCCUAUUAUUCAUCGUCGUGGCUGUUGCAUGCAGAAUUCAUUUCUGCAUGCAACAUGGUUACUUAGCAUGGUUGCUGGGCUGGGCCAGCAACCAUGCGGGCUUGGGCCUGACCAUUUGGGGUCCGGCCGGGCCCAAAAGAAAUAGAGGGAUAUGUUGGGUCGGGCCAGCCCAACCCACAUUUAAUAUUAUAUAUUAUUAUAUUAUAUUAUAAUAUUAUUUUAAAUUUAAAAAAAUCCAAAAAAAUUCCAAAAAAUUUCAAAAAUCAUUUUAAAAAAUUUGUGAUUUUCUCAAAUAUUUUUCUACCAAUUUUGAACAAUAUCGGAUUGUAUAUUUACACUGUAAAAUACAAAUCCGGUAUUAAAAUACCUGGUUUUCUCCGAAAUAUUUCAAAAAAAUGCAAAAAAACAUUUUCAAAAGGAAAAAAAUAUUUCAUUUGCAUACGGCCAAAUCCUAAAAUUUUUCCAAGCAUAUUGUUUUUUGUAAAAACAAAAAUUGCAUCUUUUUCAUGUUUUUUUAAAAUGGAUAUCGUAACCAGAUUAUGAUUGUCCAUUAGGAUUUGGCCAAAAUGUCAAAAACCUUUUUCCAACCUUUUUUUUCUAGGAUCCGGAUGUAGACUUUAAUAUUUGUGGGGUGUAAAAUUAUGCGAUAAUGUACAUCCUCGGGUAUUAAAGAUACAAGGUGUAAAUAAAAGCAAAUUUUAAAAUUAAGACUUUAGAAUGGUUAGGAUUUAACCGAAUAAGGUAGAGACUUCCUCACGAGGGGAGAUCUGCCUUGAACCUUAGAAAAGACCAGCGAAUAGAAACUCGAACUAGAAAAGCAAUCAAACAAUAAUGCAGCUUGCCUUAGGUUGGGUGCACUGGGGGUGAUGCGUCUUCCCCUUACACAACCAGUCCCUUACUCAGACUCCCGCAGACCUUAGGUUCCUAGUGACCAUAAUACUAGGUGGCGACUCUAACGAACCAAGCAAAACACAAAUAAUAAAAAAAUCGCCAGCCGAUGUCGUGCGGAAUUUUCCGACGUGCGACAGUUGUGAAGUUUGUGCAUUGUUGUUAUCACUCUUCCAACUGAAAUUCGGGUGAUUUCUCCAACCAGGGUUGUAUGUUUGUGAGUAUGGGUUAUGAUUGGGCCUUUAGAAACUGUUUAAAGCAUGGGCUUGUUCAUGGAGGCAUUCCUUGAAAGAAGGCAAAGUUGGACAGUCAUUGGUUGCAUGUUCAUUUGUUUCACAAAUUUGACACACAAUGUUUUGAACAGAUUUUAAUUGACCAUUCCUUUUCAAUUCUAGUGCUCAACUUUUCUAGUUAAAGAUGUAAACUUGGCUUGGAGGUCAUGAUCUUCCCUAAGGUUAUACAUACCUCCACUAGAUGUAUGAGGUUGAGUUUUACUUGGUGCCUCAUAAGUGCCUGUAGUGUCCCAAUUUUGCGCAUUUUCAGCUAGCAAGUCUAGGUACUCCAUUGCUUCAUUAGGGUCUUUAUCUUCAAAAGUUCCAUUGCACAUCAAUUCAACCAUUUGCCUAUCUUUAGGUGUUAAUCCUUCAUAAAAUUAUGAAACCAAUCUCCAUGUUUCAAAACCAUGAUGAGGGCAAGUAUUAAGCAAGUCUCGAUACCUAUCCCAACAUUGGUAAAAUGUUUCUCCUGGUUUUUGAGUGAAAGUGGUGAUUUGUCUUUUGAAAGAGUUUGUUCUGUGAGAUGGAAAAAACUUCUUUAAAAAUUGUUGUUGCAUUUCAUCCCAAGCACGAAUGGAUCCUGGUCUCAAAUUUUGUAGCCAUGUUUUAGCUUUAUCUUUUAAAGAAAAAGGAAAAAGCUUUAAUCUGAAUGUUUCAUGCUACAAUUUGAGUCAUUAUAAUGUACAAACUUCUUCAAAUUCUCUCAAAUGCAAGUAUGGAUUUUCUAGAUCUAAGCCAUGAAAAGAAGGUAAAAGUUGAAUAAUGCCUGGCUUAAAAUUAAAAUGAGAUGCAUCAGGAGGAAAAAAUAUACAUGAUCGCGCAAUUGUUCUUGUUGGAUUCAUGUAGUCUCUAAGUGUUCUAACCCAUUAUUCUUAUUCUCAUUAUAAGCGACUGAUUAUCCUCUUCGGCCAUGUUUUCUAAAAAGAUGAGGAUACCUACAAAGUUUAUCAUUUAAUGUACGUGACCAAACUCUCAUGCACGUGUAGAAAAGAAUAAAAGAAGAAGAAAAAGAAAAAGAAAACAAAACAAAAGUUUAGAUAACAAGAAAGUGAAAGAGAGAAAAAAUAAAAAUUUAUAAUUUGUACAGAAAUUUACCUCCCCGGCAACGGCGCCAAAAACUUGACACGACCAAAAGAUUGAUGUCUUCUCCCAAGUGCAGGAGUGUCGAAGUAAUAAAUAACCCGGCAAGACCGGGGUCGAACCACAGAGAGGUUAAUUGUAUAAAUUAUAAAUAACAAGACAACAACAACAACAACAACAACAACAACAACAACAACAAUAAUAAUAAUACUCAGUAUGUGGCGUUGUUAUACCUGAGAAUGAUCUAAAAGAUCGGGUCACAGGUUUCCAGCCUAUAUACUGAGUUUAUGAAAAGAUCAAAGAGAUAAAUUAUAUAAUAUAAACAGAAUGUAAAUAAUAAUAUAAUAAUAAUAAUAAUAAUAAUAAUAAUAAUAAUAAUAAUAGUAGUAUAAUAGUAGUAGUAGUAAUAAUAAUAAUAAUAAAAAGAAGAGGAGGAAGAAAUUAAUGAGAACUUUGAGAUGGAAGAUUAAUGUAAGGAUUAAACAAUGAUAAAAACAAAUGUCAAGGUUAGAGGAUCCACCAAUGGUAUUUCAAACAAGUAUAGUAUAAACUCUUUUAUUCAACUGGAAACCACACACAAGGAGGUUCCAAUCGGAUGAUUUCUCAUUAAUAGCUCAUUAUAAAUUAUUAACAUGAUCAUAUUAAUUAUCUUAUUACAUAACACCAAACUUUUAAAUAUUGUCAGGAAUUCAUGAUUAACUGAUGUUAACAACAAAUCAAGUUUUUCAUAGCCCAGGUGUAGGUAAUACCAUACUGUUGGGCUAUGAGAGUGCCAAGCAUUUGUUGUACCAAGUGUUAUACAACACAAAUCUAGAUUAACCAUUUAACAAGCAAGGUAUUAAGAAUUAGUAAGAUAAAAAGAUAAGACAUGUUAAUAUUAAACAUUAAGUCCAUGUUGAGUUUACACUAUAUUAUUCUUACACCAUUAGUGUAACCUUUUCACCUUGACAUAAUAAACUUAGCUAAACAUAAUGAAGAAGAGAAACAUAAAUAAACAAAACAAGAACAUAAAAAAAUACAAGUUAACUAAGAAAGGAAAGGAAAUGAAAAGCAUAAACAAGAUAUUAAUGAAAGCAAAACUUAAAAUUACAAAAAAAUAUAAAGAGAGAAAUAAAGAGCAUGAACUUGAUCUGAACAACCAAGCCCAAAUACAUGGCAAAUGCCUCCUUUUAUAGGCCAAAAUUCGGAAUUAUUGAUUUGAUGACUAAUUGUUGAGUGGGUGGCCAACUUUUGACUUGGUGAAAAUCCUUAUCUUCUUGUCUGAAUAAAACAAAAUGCUACCAUCCGAACUGGGUCCACUGAAAACAUGAAAGUUGUAGGAAAUUGACUCAGCUUUCCAGGAAAAAAAAUGGAGGUCAUUUGGACUUCUAGAACUCCAGAUAUGGGCCAAACACUGAACAGUGUUCGGGCUGCAGGACAGAUUCGGACUUCUCCGUUGUUGCUAUAAUUUGGACUUGAAAACGGCCUUGUUAGAUUUAUGUUCACAUGAAAGUUGUAGGCCUAUGUCUCACCAAGUUUUUGUAAGCAUUUGAGAUCAUUUGGACAUCUAGAACUCGAGAUAUGACCCAAAGUUGUAGGCCUAUGUCUCACCAAGUUUUUGUAAGCACUAACAUCUCUUUUCUAAGCUUCACCCUUCUUUAUCUUCAAAAUUUCAGUAGUUGAAUUCAUUAAUCAAUCCUUUAAUUUAUGUGAUAAGCCUGCAUUUAAGAUGAACAUUUACCAUAUAUUAGGGCAUUUUAUAGUAUUAGACUUGUUAUUAUAAAACAUGCUUUAGUUAAGGAGUUAUUGAUACUUUAAGUGCAAAAUGAUGAUAUAAAACCUUGAUAAAUAUACACUUUUAAGUACUAAUCAAGCCCAACACGAGACUUAUAAUGAUCUUUAAACCUAUACCCAUUUAGGCUUAACAUGAUAUUAAGUCCACUAGUAAUGGGUCUUGCAGCUUGCCAGACCCUUAUCCGUUUAGGCUUAACAUACAAUUGAACCCAAAGAUGUUGGGUAUGAUAAUUUACCAAACCUUUAUGUAAUUAAUCUUAGUAUAUAGUUAAACCGUAGAUAUUGGGUCUGAUAGCUCACUAAAUCCAUGUUUGUUUAGGCUCAACACAUGAUUGAACCCAAGGUCAUUAGGUUUGGUAGUUUGACAAAACUAUAUGUACUUGGUCUUAGCAUGUAGCUGAUCCCAAUGAUGUAGUGUUUGGAAGCUUGCCACACAAAAUUUUUUUGGGCUUAACGCAAGCCUAAAGAUAUUGGAUUUGACAGCUUGUUAGACUUAUAUAUGCCUGAGCCUAGUAGAUAUUUAAAUCCAAAGAGUUUAGGUCUACCACCUUCCUAGACCCAUAUUGUUUUUGGCUUAGUGCAUAGCUGAACCUAAUAUCAUUGAGUCUGAUAGCUUGCUAGAUCUAUAUGUAUUUUGGUUCAACAUGUAGUUGAACCCUAGGAUAUUGGGUUUGACAGCUUGAUAGAUCCACGUCUGUUUGGGCUCAACAUGUAGGUGAAUCCAAUGUGUUGGAUCUAACAACUUGUUAUACCCAUAUAUACUUGGGCUUAGUGCGUAGGUAAUCUCAAUGAUGUUUAUUUGCUUUUUUAUGACGUUUCAACUUUGAUAGCUUAAUGAAAUUUACUUUGCAAAUCAUAUAGUAUCCUUGAUAUAUUCAAGUUGGGGAAUUGAUACUAUUUUUCUUGUCACUCUUUAAAGAAUGACUUUUUCUUUUCAUCCUUUUGAAAAGCAUUUAGUGUUGCACAAUCAUUUCUUUUACCUCUUGGUACAUUUAUGACAAUGAAGUUAAUUAUCAAAGAUUGUUUUCCCUGAACCUUUGAAGUGCUCUUUUCAAAUCUAUGACUUUCAAACUUAUUUUUUUUAGGCUCUUACAUAGGUAAUGAUAAGGUUCCAGUUGUAGCAAUAUUAAGUCUUAUGUUGUGUGUUCUGGUAGCUAAUUCUUUAAAAGAGUUAGGUUUUUAAUGCUUUAUAUAAUAUAGCACAACCCCUAAUGCAUCCCUUCAAUGUAUAUAUCUAGAGUAGAACUUUUGAUGAGUUGAUCUUUAUAAUUGAGGCUAAGAUUUUUCCAUUGAUGAAUGUAGUUAAUUACAUGCACCUUUAUUUAUUAAUAUGCAUUUAUAAGUUCAAUCAUGUUAACCAUAUGAUAAGUGUUGUAGAAACAUAUGUAAUUUUAACAGCAUCUACAAAAAAAAAAAUAUAAACAAAAUGGGAUCAUUGUUUAAGAACUUAACUAAAAGCAUUUUAAUGAGAAAAACAAAAUUAUUAAGAGUAUUCCAAGCCAUAACAAACGGAUUCAAGGAUAAAUGAAUGUUACGAUUAAGUGUGUAUUUAAUAAUGUAGUAUAUGAUAUUUUUAUAAAUAUAUAUUUUAAUUCAAAAUACAUUAAAAUUAUAUUUUUUAAUUUAAUUAUUAACACCAGCAUAGCCAUUUAAAAAAUACUAUAAAAAACAUUGAUUUAAUAUAUUUUUUAUAAAAAAAAAUUUAAAAAGUAUUUUAAAAAAUGAGUGCAACAACAUUACAUAAUCAAAGCUAAAUGGGCUUCGAAUUUGGUCAUUCUAUUCGUGCAUGACGCUGAUUGAUUUCCAAAAAUUUUAAUUUUUUGUUAUUUUCUUAAAAUCAACAGAGAAAAUUUGGACAAAAUCUAUCAAAAGUUAGUGAUUAAUAUGAGUUAAUUGAGAAAUUAGAAGGGUUUUUUCUUUUAUUUUUGUAGUAUAUGAACUGUUGUUAUAAUUGGUAAUUGAUUAGUAUCAUAAAAUCAUGCAGACCAAUUGGAUUUGGGGCAUUUAUCUGCUUCAAACGUUGAUCUUGGAUUGUACCUAUAAUCCUAUAGGGAUAUUUUGUGAUUUUUUUAGCAUUGAUUAAAUUUAUUUUUAUAUUUAAAAUUAGUUAUUUUAAUGUUUUUAAAUUAUUUUAAUAUGUUAAUAUUAAAAAUAAUUAUAUAUAUAUUAUUUUAAUAUAUUUUUAAAUAAAAAAUAUUAAAUUUUUUUAUAUAUAUAAUUUACUAACUCUACGUAUGUCACAAAAUCAGUUUGUGACAUAUAUUUACGAGUGCUCAAUAAGUUUGUUUAGAUAGUUUACAAAGUCAUAGUUUGUUAUUAUGACACUAUCGUUUGACUUGAUUUUAAAUCUUAUUUAAAAGUAUUUUAUUUUUGUUUUUUAAAUUAUUUUUUAUUUAUAAAUAUAUUAAAAUAAUUUAUUUUAAAUAUAGCACAUUAAAUUUUAAAAAUAAAAUUAAAGAAAAAAAAUAUUUUUUUUAAAAUAUAAAAAAAUUAUUUUUUAAUUAUGAAUAUUUGACCUAAGCUUAUAUACAUCUUGAUUAAUUAUUUAAAAUUAUGAAUAUAAAAACUAAACAAAUUUAUAUUUAUAAUAUUUAAAUUGAUAAUUUCUAAAAAACAUUGACUAAUUAAACCCAAUUAAAUAAUAUAAGAUAAAAACAUGCUAAUAUAAGAUACAACAUAUUACACGGGUAUUGAAUUACUGGAUUUACUUGGUGCCUCCGACAUGUACCAAUCACAAAUGGCCGUCAGAUUUGACUUGGAAGCCUGAUACAAUAAAGUAGGAUACUACUGAAUUACUGGAUUUACUUUGUGCCUCGAGCAUGUGCCAAUCACAAAUGGUAUUUGGACAAGUUGGGAUAUAUAUAUAAUUUUUUAUUAAAUAAUAAAUAAUAGUAAGAUAAUAAACGACUGAAAUCUAAUAAAUAAUUUAUAGAUAAUUAAAUUCCUUACUUAAUGAUAAAUGAGUAGAUAUUGAAAUCAAUAAUAUAACAUUUUCAUCUCUACGCGAGUUGCAACUUGCAAGUCAUGGUGUGCUAUCAUGAGGCUCCAUUUUUCUUCGAUAAAAUGCCUUCUUUUAGUACAUCAUCACUCCAAAUCUAUCAUAAGCAACAAACAAGCAAGCAACAAUGGCCUUGUUAGACCAGAGUUUCUUUCAUUACAGCCUCCUAGCUUACUACCUCCUAGGACCCCCUACCUUCAUUGUCCUAAGGUUCUUUCAAUUCCCAUAUGGCAAGCACAACCGUCUAGGAUGGGGCCCUACAAUUCCUCCACCUUUGGCUUGGUUUAUCAUGGAAAGCCCCUCCAUUUUGCUCCCCCUCAUCCUCUUUCCCUUUGGCCAACACUUCACAAAUCCCAAAGCACUAUUUCUCAUGUCUCUUUAUCUCCUCCACUACUUCCACCGCACUUUCAUCUACCCGCUUCGCAUUUACCAAAGCACCUCUCACCAGAAUACCAAAACCACCAUUGGUUUCCCGUUGAUUUUGACCUUCAACGGAUUUUUGACUCAAGCAUUGAAUACUUGCAUACAGGCUAGGUGGGUUUCUCAUUAUAAAAGUGAUUAUGAUAGUGAUGGAGGUUUGUUUUGGUGGAAAUUCUUUGGUGGAUUGGUGGUUUUUCUGUGGGGCAUGAGGAUUAAUAUGUGGGCUGAUACGGCUUUGUUGGUUUUGAAAAGGGAAAGUGGUGGAUAUAAGGUGCCGAGAGGAGGGUGGUUUGAGCUGGUAACUUGUCCUAACUACUUUGGAGAGAUUGUGGAGUGGCUUGGAUGGGCAGUGAUGACUUGGUCAUGGGCUGGGUUUGGUUUUUUCCUCUAUACAUGUUCUAACUUGGUGCCUAGGGCAUGUGCCAAUCACAAAUGGUAUUUGCAGAAGUUUGCAGAGGAUUAUCCCAAGAAUAGAAAAGCUGUGAUCCCUUUCCUCGUUUAAUUAUUGAUAGAAUUGCGUAGAAGGAAGAAUUUGAAGAAGAAGAAGAAGAUAUUAUUAGCUGUUAUGUUAAUUUAUAUAUAUAUAUAUGUAUGUGUGUGUGUGUGUAUUAUGAAAUUCAGUGAUAUAAUGUUUCAUGUAUUCCAAUACCUGAGGAGCUUUUAGUUAAUUUAACUCUUGCAAAAUAUCAACGGGGAUCCGUUGCCCACCUUAACAGAUCCGAACACAACGUUAACUGCCAUAAAGACCACCUAGAAAAACAGAGCGAAAGUCUCCAAAUAAUCUCCAUUAAUACACAAAUAUUAGAGAAACACAAAAUUUUGCAUCAAAUCAUCAACAAUGGCAUCCUCCUUUGAUUCAUUCAACCCUGAAGGAUAUCAAAAUGACCCCACAAAACAGCAUGUCCAACGUGAUUAUGAACAUAGGUGAUGACACAUCAUUCCCUGGGGCAACACCAUUGGCUCAAGAAAAUUUCUUCAAUGACAACAACAUGCAUUCUUCUGAGGUGUAUGGGUUUGGUAUGCCUUCUCCAAGUCCUGAAUUUGCCUCAACUUUUGAGUCUGAGGUGUUUGAGACUAGUGGUGGUGGUGGUUUUUUUUUUUUUUCUGGUGGGCUGCUUCUGCCUGCAGGAGUUAGGAGCCAAAUUCCGUGAGUGGCGCAAGUGAGUUUUGUUUUUGUUUGUGGAAUUGGGUUAUAUUCGCUUUCUUGAUUGGAUCUGGAUUUGAGUAUUUUACAUUUGGAAUUUGCAAUGGGGCUAUGGUUUAAUGACUGGGGAGGUGGAGUUUGGAAGAGAAAAUUUGAUAUAUAUAAUUUUGAUUGGCGUUUGAUGUUUGAGAAUUACGGUGAUCUAAUUAUGUAGGAUGAUUUAAUUGAAGAUAAGCAUCGAAUUUGUAAUUUGGGAUCAUCUCAUUCUGUUUUUUUUUUGGAAUAUAUUAAUUAUCAUUAGAAUUGGCCUUGGGAGACCAUGAAAGGGAAAGUUGAUGAUGAUGGGAGCCUAAACCUUCUGUUGUUGGAAGCAGCAAGGCAUUGAUUUUAAAAUCUUGUUCUUGAGACAUUGCCAGUUUACUGAAUACCAAGUUUUUAGUUAGAAUUGAAAGGGGUUUGAACUUUGAACUACCAAAUUAAACUUUUUUUUUUUUCACUGAAGAAUUGAUUGGUAUAGAAAGCUGUCACUCAAAGGCUUUUUGAAUGUCGUCUCGUAAGAGUUCAUCUUUCCAUCAAUUCUUUUAUUGUUCCCUGAUUUUGGUUGAUAUGAAGCAACGAGAGUACUAAAACCACUUUGAUUUUUACAUGCUGCUAAUUUUGCAUUACACAAUACUUGUAUUGCACCAUGGCCAAUUCAAAAUCGUAAUGUGAAAGAGGGCUUCUAAUUGUUAUAGGUUCAUCGGAAUAUUGGCGAAAUCUUCCAGACUAAUCUUUGUUUUUUCUUGAUCAUCUAUACUGUAUUUCUCUAAUUGUCUUUUUGACAUCUUAGAGAUGUUUUCAGCCUUCUUUUAUGAGAGAAGGCAGCAGAAUUGUGAAACCAACGAAGCUCGGAACAGAGAAAGAGAGAAGGUAAAAUUUAUGUAAAGACACUUUUCCAUUGUUUCCUCCCAAUUUCUUUCGACGUGCAGAUCCGUGCUCAAGUUUUCUACAUUCCUUCCAGCUUUACUAUGAGGUUAAACAUAUGGAUGUGCUUUACCUGGCAAACCAAGAGAAGUUUCACAAGGAGGCAGAUAAACAUUACUGAAAAGCCAUUGCAGAGAUCAUUCCUCGAGAGGUGCUAAGUAUUGAUAAAAGAAGGGGUAAAAAAGAUGUUGAAAAGAAACCUUCCAUUGCUGUAAUUCAGGGUCCAAAGCCUGGAAAACCCACUGAUCUCUUAAGGAUGAGGCAACUUUUCGUGAAACUGGAACAGAACCCUCCACCUCACAUGAUGCCCCCCCCUCCCACAUCUGCCAAAGAUGGAAAGGUUUUAUUUUUUUUAUGUGUUGUUCAUCUUCUCUGCUUUAUUGGUGUUGUAUCCCUCCCCCGCCUCUUCUAUAAUGGGAUUUUCUCUUGGAAAAUCUUCAUCUACUUGCUUGAACCAUGUCAAAGAGAUUUUUAUUUGGCCAACCUCAUCAAACCCAAAAUAUCAGUUACAAUAGUGACUGUUAUUUCCUGACAGAAGUAUAGAUGAAUUGUAUAGAGUUGAUGUAAUUAAUAUAAUUCGUUGUUAUAUGAUUCAUGGACAUAAUGUGAAGGUGCAUAAUGAUUUGAAGUAAGGAGGAGAUAGAAAAUGAUAUCACGCGGGUCUAUAUAUUUUAAAAUAUUUGAGAAUACUAUAGUAAUUAUUUUUUAAAAUGUUUUUGUUUUAAAUAAUUUUUUUUUAAAAAAAUUAUUUUUGAUAUUAACAUAUUAAAAUUAUAUAAAAACACACAUUAUUAUUUAUUCUUUGCAUUGAUUUUGUUAGAAACUUUAUGAAACACCAAAUUCUUUGCCUAAACAACACGAUCAUCAAACCCUUUUGAUGCAAUGUUUUUUUUAUGAAAGAUCUAGCAAAUCUCUUUUAAAACUAGAUAUAUAUAUAUAUUCAAAAAAUAUUCAAAAUUAUUUUUAGAACACGAGAACAUAAACCUUCACGUUGUAAAAAAUCAAAAUAUUAGAAAAAUAGCUAGAUUGAAAGAUUUGAUGAGAUGAGAUGAAGGACAAAAGAAGAAGAAGAGGUUAUUUGACACGACCAAAAGCUUGAUGUCUCUUCCCAAGUGCAGGAGUGUCGAAGUAAUAAAUAACCCGGCAAGACCGGGGUCGAACCACAGAGAGGUUAAUUGUAUAAAUUAUAAAUAACAAGACAACAACAACAACAACAACAACAACAAUAAUAAUACUCAGUACGUGGCGUUGUUAUACCUGAGAAUGAUCUAAAGAUCGGGUCACAGGUUUCCAGCCUAUAUACUGACUUUAUGAAAAGAUCAAAGAUAUAUAUUAUAUAAUAUAAACAGAAUGUAAAUAAUAAUAAUAAUAACAAUGAUAAUAAUAAUAAUAACAGAAGAUGAAGAAAUUAAUGAGAACUUUGAGAUAAAAGAUUAACGUAAGGAUUAAACAAUGAUAAAAACAAAUGUCAAGGUUAGAGGAUCCACUAAUGGUAUUUCAAACAAGUAUAAUAUAAACUCUUAUUACUCAAUUGGAAACCACACAUAAAGGAGGUCCCAAUCAGAUUAUAAAUUGUUAACAUGAUUACAUUAAUUAUCUUAUUCGAAUAAAGCUAAUACUUGUAAAUGUUGGCAGGCAUUCAUGAUUAUAACUUAUGUUAACAACAAAUCAAGUUCCUUUCAUAGCUCAGGUGUCGGUUAAACCAUACAGUAUGGGCUAUGAAAGUGCCAAGUAUUUGUUGUACCAAGUGUUACACAACAUAAAUCUAGAUUAACCAUUUAACAAGCAAAGUAUUAAAGUGAACAAGAUAACAAAUAUAAAACAUGUUAGUAUCCAACGUUAAGGUCCAUGUUAAGUUUAUAUUAUACUUGUUCUUACACCAUUAGUGUACCCUUUUCACCUUGACAUAAUUAACUUAGCUAGACAUAAUAAAAAAAGAAACAUAAAUGAGCAAGACAAGAACAUAAAUGAGAAAGAAGUUAACUAGACAAAGGAAAGGAAAUGAAGUGCAUAAACUUGAUAUUAAUGAAAGCAAGACAUAAGCAAUACAAAGAGAGAAAGCAAGAGCAUGAUCUUGAUCUGAACACCAAGAUGCCUCAAUACAUGGUAAGUGCCUCCUUUUAUAGGCCAAAAUUUGGAACUAUUGAUUUGUUGACUAAUUGAUGAGUGGGUGGCCACAUCUUGACUAGAUAACAAUCCUUAUCUUCUUGUCUGAUCAAGACGUCAUUGCUAACAUCAUAAUUUGCCCAGAAUCCUCAAGAAUGUUCUAGGAAAUUGUCUCAGCUUUCCAACAAAAAAAAGAUGAGGUCAUUUGGACUUCUAGAACUCAAGAUAUGGGCUGAACACUAAAUAGUGUUUGGGCUGCAGGACAGCUUCGGACUUCUUCGUUGUUCCUUCAAUUUGGACUUCAAAACGACCUUUUCAAAUCUUGGGCUCCUCAUGAAAGUUGUAUGCUUUUGUCUUACCUUUCCAUCCAUAUAAAGUGGACCUAAAUCCGAAAUCUAGAGCUCUAGAUAUGAUCCAAUUACCGAGCAAUGUUCCGGUUUGGACUGCACCGACAUCUCUUUUCUAAGUUUGGCCAUCUCUUUGUCCUUUAACUUUCAAUGCUUAAACUCAUCAAUCAAUUCUUUUAUUUAUGUGAUAGUCCUGCAUUUAAAAUGAGCAUUUACCAUAAAUUAAGGUAUCUUAUAAUAUCAAACUUGUUAUUAUAAAACAUGCUUUAGUUAAGGAGUUAUUGAUACUUCAAGUGCAAAAUGAUGAUAUAAAACCUUGAUAAACAUGCACUUUUAAGUACUAAUCAUUAUUGGUGCUUCAAUUGAUGACUUUCAAUAUUGUUAUCCUCUAAUUAGUAUUAAUAAUACUUAUUUUUAUGGUAAGUGCAAAGUUAAGAAGUUAGUUGCAGUUGCUUAUGAUACGAAUAAUAAAAUUUAUCCAUUAUAUUUUUUUGAUAUAAAAUAAGAGACAAACAAACAUAGUUGCAUUUCCCCAAAUAUUCAUGUAACUCGAUGCAAUAUGCCUCUAAUAUCUAAGAAAUUGAUUGGUAUGCAAUAUGAUUUUAUAUUUAUUAAAUACCAAAAUAGUUUUAUUGUGGAUGAUAACUAAUAAUUAGUUUUUAAUAUAUGUAUAUAGAUUAAUUACUUGGUACGAGAAGCUUGGAAAGCAGUAAUAAUUAUAUGUAAAGGUGUCCAUAAGAUGCGACAUAAUGUGGCCAACAUCCCCAUCAAUUUAUGUUGUGACGAACUUCAAAAGGUUGGGGAGGUUUAACGUCUUGAAACAACAUUAACGAAAGAUGAGAUUGUUUAUCGUGAAAGUGUUAAGGAUGUUGGGUCAUCCAUGAUCAUUCCAAAACACUUUAAAAAAACAACAAUUAUUUUACUUUAAAUUACCCCAUUAAUAAUCUCUUUGACCAUUGAUCUUGGUAAAAAGGCAAAAGAGAAUUCUGAAGAGUGUAAGUGAACCCAUUAGGUUUUGGUUUUGUUUUUUAGAUGUCACUAGUUCGAGGAUCAUUAAAAAUUUAUAUGGUUGUUAACUUCAAGGUCUUAAAAAAAUAGUCGAGAAGCGAUUAAACUGACCCGAAUAUCUAUUAUUAAAAAAAAAUAAAGGCAAAGGAGAAGACUAUUCUCUUGAUUACGAGUGUUCGGGUAAGUUAGUAAAUUUUAAAAACAUAUCGCAUAUGUUCUGCACAAUCAAUAAAAAUAAGUUGUACUUUAAAAAUUGGCAAAAGCGAGAGGGGAUUAGCUUCUGGAAAGCGAAACUUGACAAGUAUUCUCUUGUCCCGACUUUGGAAAUGAAAGAUCGGAGUCUGGACGAAGUACCUUCCUAGCAUCUAGCUAAGAGAACAUCCAUCUGCAUCAAUAUGGACCGAAUCAAACACAGACCGAGUCCAGAAAAGACUUAAGACUAGCAAGUUGCAUAGACUAAGAUUUUUCUGUUUUCUUUUUCCAAACGGAAGCGAUUUCAUCCAAUAAUACUUCGCUGGCAUUGUCUGAAAAUUCAGCAUCAGUGGCUUCUUCGACGACCUGGUCAGACAAUAGCUAAAAAUAUAAAAGGCAGACUCGUAUAUAGGUAAUUUAAUUUACCCAAACCAGCUUUGGUAAAAGAAACACUAAACAUUACCAGUAGAUAUUUAAUUGAGAAAAAUUAGAGGUUACGGUUUAUAUUAUCAAUAACCCAUUGAAAUGCUUAAGAAUAAAUACUAAUAACUAGCAAAUUAAUUACAGCUUCUCAUCAUCCUGAUGGCAUCCCAGUACAGAUCCCUCUACUUCUCAAAAUCCUUUUGUAUGUUGUCACCUUUAAAAAGUUAAUUUAAUAAACACCUAGGUUAUUUUCCUCUUUUCAUUUUUAUCUUCAUUCACUGAGGUUACUAUAAAAAAUAAAAAAUAAUAUUAUUUUAAUAUAUUUUUAAAUAAAAAAUAUUUAAAAAAUAAUUUUUACAUACUAUUAACGCUACAGAGAAAAAACAAAAAGAAGACGCCCUUACAUGUCACAAAAUCAGUUUCUGACAUAUUGCUAGGAGUGCUCGACACGUUUGAUUAGAUAGUUUACAAAGUUAUAAUUUGUCAUUAGAAAACUAUCGUUUGACUUGAUUUUAAAUCUUAUUUGAAAGUAUUAUAUAUUUGUUUUUAAAAUUAUUUUCUAUUUAAAAAUAUAUUAAAAUAAUUUAUUUUAAAUUACUUUAAACAUAACACAUUAAAACAAUUUAAAAAUAUUAAAUAAAAAUAUAUUUUUAAAAUAUAAAAACAAAUAUUUUUUUUUAUAAUCGUGGGUGUCAGGACCAGCUUACACAAACCCCGACUAAUCCUUCAAAGCCCUUAAGUUAACAAUCAUGCUAGCCGGAAACACUAAUUAAUCUUAAUCUAAUACCAAUGAAAUAGAAAAUAAUUGUCUUUUCUGUAUACUUUCUCUAGUUCAAUUACUAUCACGUGCCUUACACAAUAGAUCGGAUCAUAUAAAUAUUCUUUCAACACAACUUAAGUUAUUGAAAGGAUCUCAAAGACCCAUCAAAACACGAAAGUCAAGAUCUUUCAAAAAUUGAAUUUUUAUUUAAAGAGUACAUAACCGCAUGGAUAAGCUUAUACCAACCCGUUGAUUUGGGAUUAUUGAUAUAGUUUACAAUCCCAACCAUGAUGCACGGAAGCUUAGAAAGUAUAAAGCCGGUGGUUAUUGAGAUUUAUGACUCUCAAAUUAAUAAUUUUUAAAUAAUAAAUUUAAGAUUUGGCCGUUAAAGUUUUAAAAUUAAAUAAUAUAAGAUUUAAAAUAAUAAAAUUAGUGGAUUUACUUGUUGCCUACGACAUGUACCAAUCACAAAUUGCCGUCAGAUUUGACUCAAAGUAAGGUACUGAAUUUCUGGAUUUACUACGUGUCUCGGGCAUGUGCCAAUCACAAAUGGUAUUUGGAGAAGUUUAUAUAUAUAUAUAAUUUUUGUAUAGCUGAUUCAACAAACACAAUAUUUUCUUUUGCCAUGUCUAGCGUAGGCUACGAAGCAAUAAACAUUGAUGAAAACUCGAUUCCGAGAGAUCACAUGGCAAAUGCUAUGAUAGAUAGUCAGUUGCAUGAGUGUGUGAGGCAGGACAAUACUGAGGCCUUUAAAAGCCUUGUCGAGCAACAUUUAACAGAGAAGCUAGUGACACCCUGCGGCAAUACACUACUUCACGUAGCUGUAAGCUAUGGAAGUGACAAUAUUACAUCUUAUCUGGCUCAAACGUUUCCUUCUCUAAUCACCAUCCAAAACAGCCAGAAGGACACAAUCCUUCAUCUUGCUGCCAGAGAAGGAAAGGCCACUCAUGCAAUUAGAUCUCUUGUGGAAUCGAAUCCGAGCUUGAUGAGGAAGACAAAUACAAAGGGAAACACUCCUUUGCAUGAUGCAGUGAUCACCGAUAACAAAGAAGUUGCCAUUUUCCUAGUUUCCAGAGAUCCAGAAGUGGCCUAUUACAGCAACAAGAAUGGCAGGUCUCCUUUAUACCUGGCUGUUGAGAAUGGCAAUAAGAACGGGAUACUUGAUGAUCUCUUGGAUUUGGGAGCUUCGAUUCCUAUAACAAGAGAAGAUGGUGAUGCCCUACCAAAACGAAAAUCCCCUGUUCAUGCUGCCAUCGAGCAACGUAACAUAGGUGAUCACAGUGUCUAUACUCACUAGAAAAUGAUUUACAUACAAACAAUUGUUGCAAACCUAUCAUCUUUAUAUUCAUUUGAAACAUUUUCUUUUGAUUUUCAGAUCUAUUGGAGAAAAUUGCAAAUGCAAAGCCAGAGCUAUUAUGUCUCACUGACGAAGAGUUGGGAAAUUCACUGCAUUAUGCAUCAUCCAUAUGUUUUCUGGAAGGAGUUCGAUUCCUAUUAAAGAAGUUUCUCAAUGGUACUUAUAAAACAAACAGAGAAGGCAACUAUCCAAUCCAUGUUGCAUGCAAAAAUGAAUCUGUUGAUAUAGUGAAGGAAUUUCUUGAUAUUUUCCCAUAUCCUAAAGAAUUCCUCAAUGAAAAAGGGCAGAAUAUUCUUCAUGUAGCGGCUGAAAAUGGACAGGGCAAUGUGGUAAGGUACAUACUCGAAAACGAUCAGAAGAUCGUAGAACCACUGCUAAAUGAGAUGGAUGAGGAUGGGAAUACACCUUUGCAUUUGGCAGCACGACAUGGUCAAUCCAUGGCUGCAUUUGUUCUUGUGCGUGACAAACGCGUUGAAAAUUCAAUUGUUAACAACGAAAAUUUUACACCAUAUGAUGUUGCGGAACAACAAUCUAAAAUGGCUGUAGACCAAUAUGAAAAAACAGAUGAAAUGGUAUGCUAUUUGAUCAUCAUUUAUCGAGGCUACAAAACUACAUAUUUUAAGAGUAUUAUUUAUUUAAUAUUUUGGUUUCUGGGUUUCCUCUUUGUUGCCAGCUUGCAAAGGAACGACAGCAGGUGGAUUCAAAGAACAGUAUUCCUGCGGACGAGAUCCAGGUAUGAGAGUUCUGUUGAAAAACAAUGUUGUUACAUUUUAAGUAGACAAGGAUUCCAUUUCACUAAAGGAUAUCAUAUUUUACAUAAUAAAGGAUGAUGUCAUGAAAAAAUGGAAACAGAGCAUAUAACUUGACACUCUUAAAAGCUGACUGAAAUUCAGGACUAAAGAUAUAAUAUAAAAUCGUAUCCUUAAACCUCAAUUAGCUGUUCAAGCUUUUGAGUUGAGUGGUUCUUUGAUAGACUCAAUCAUCCUUUGUCAGAAGAGCUCAUGUCAUGUAAUUUGUACAAUUAUCUGCUCUGCGUUGCUUCAUGAUUUCUGUCUUCAUUCCUCAGAUCGAAGUUAAUUCAGAAGAUGUGAAGGAUGCAAAGAAGAAUUCUACAACAGAAAAGUCCACCGCUUCGACUGGUUCUCAAGGAAAGGUACAAGUUUACAUUGACUACACAAAAUCGAGGUUAAUUAUCUCUUCUAAGCUCAAAGAACUACUUUCCAAACAUGGGCUGAUCAUCAGUUUCAGUGGCUUAUAUUGUUGGCUAGCCAUAGCACAAAAGGAAAGAAGGAAAGAAAGAAAAAAGAGGUAGCUCUAUUCAUUAACUUCAAAUUAUGUUUUUUUACAGGACAAAGCAGUUGAUUCAAAGGACUACAAGCUGCUUGAUUAUUAUGGAACGGUAAUAUUACACAUCUUCUUUCCUAUAUUUUUUCUAGUCAUCCCUAUUCUUUUGAACAUCUACUUGAAGGCCGAUUAAUUUAGAUUCUAUACAAUUAUUUUCAAAAUUCAGAAAUUAUUCCAGAAUCGUAUUUGUUCUUAAAAAAAAAAAAAAAAAAAAAAAAGGAUUUCAAGGCCAACGCUUUUGCAUGCGAUUGAGGAAGUGCCAGAAACUCAUUAUUAUGAAGUUUGUUUCCCCUUGCUAUGCAGAUGACAACAUUAUCUAUCUUCUAUUUCCAUGCCCGCCCUAGGAAAUCCCUAUAUGAGCGUUUCACUAGUACUCAAGGCAAGCCGCCAAGGAAACAGGAAAC